rnacentral:rRNA from 1 species
CCUACGGGUGGCAGCAGUGGGGAAUAUUUGGCAAUGGAGGCAACUCUGACCCAGCAACGCCGCGUGAAUGAUGAAAGUCUUUGGAUUGUAAAGUUCUGUGAUGGGGGAUGAACACAAUGACGGUACCCCAAUAGCAAGCCACGGCGAAAUACGUGCCAGCAGCCGCGGUAAUACGGAGGUGGCAAGCGUUAUCCGGAAUGACUGGGCGUAAAGGGUGCGUAGGGGGUUUAGUAAGUUGGCGGUGUAAUGCCGGGGCUCAACCUCGGCGCGACAGCCAAUACUAUUAGUCUAGAGUGCAGGAGGGGUAAGUGGAAUUCCUGGUGUAGCGGUGGAAUGCGUAGAUAUUGAGAGGAACAUCAGGGGCGAAGGCGACUUACUGGACUGUAACUGACGCUGAGGCACGAAGGCGUGGGGAGCGAACGGGAUUAGAUACCCUGGUAGUC